rnacentral:rRNA from 1 species
UUGAACGCUGGCGGCAGGCCUAACACCUGCAAGUCGAACGGUAACAGAAAGCAGCUUGCUGCUUUGCUGACGAGUGGCGGACGGGUGAGUAAUGUCUGGGAAACUGCCUGAUGGAGGGGGAUAACUACUGGAAACGGUAGCUAAUACCGCAUAACGUCGCAAGACCAAAGAGGGGGACCUUCGGGCCUCUUGCCAUCGGAUGUGCCCAGAUGGGAUUAGCUAGUAGGUGGGGUAACGGCUCACCUAGGCGACGAUCCCUAGCUGGUCUGAGAGGAUGACCAGCCACACUGGAACUGAGACACGGUCCAGACUCCUACGGGAGGCAGCAGUGGGGAAUAUUGCACAAUGGGCGCAAGCCUGAUGCAGCCAUGCCGCGUGUAUGAAGAAGGUCUUCGGGUUGUAAAGUACUUUCAGCGGGGAGGAAGGGAGUAAAGUUAAUACCUUUGCUCAUUGACGUUACCCGCAGAAGAAGCACCGGCUAACUCCGUG